rnacentral:snRNA from 1 species
GUGCUGUCUUUGGCAGCACACACACUAAAACUGGAACGAGACAGAGAAGAUUAACAUGGUCCCAGGGCAAGCAUGACAUGUAAAUUCGUGAAGCAUUCCAUAUUUUU